GAUUGCAAGAGCUAAUUUGAAUUCUGCCCAAGCUGAGAACUGCUCCAACAACCCCCAGCCUGUGGAGUGGCAGGCUUGCAGGAUUCAAGGGCUCCAAGCACACUUCAUUGGGAAGGUGACAUGGGAACAAAGACUUGAAGGAGGGAGCAAGCCAUGGGGAUAUCCAAGGGUGAAGAGAUUCCAAGAAGAGGGAGCCGCCCGUGCAAAGGUCCUGAGCUAUUGGAGAAUUUUUUGGAUCCCGGUUCUGUGCCGAGCAUUGGGUGCCUAAGACCAGCCCGGUGCAUGCCUUGCUGCGGCUUCUGUUCUGGGGAAGAAGACAAUCAACAAGGAGACAGCGAACAUGGAUCGUGGCAGAUGGGGGAACAUGCAGGGGAGUAAAGCAAACGGGGUGCCAGGGGGAGCA